rnacentral:rRNA from 1 species
CAGAGUAGCCACGGGAAUACAGAGGGUGCGAGCGUUAAUCGGAUUUACUGGGCGUAAAGCGUGCGUAGGCGGCUAAUUGAGUCGGAUGUGAAAUCCCCGAGCUUAACUUGGGAAUUGCAUUCGAUACUGGUUAGCUAGAGUGUGGGAGAGGAUGGUAGAAUUCCAGGUGUAGCGGUGAAAUGCGUAGAGAUCUGGAGGAAUACCGAUGGCGAAGGCAGCCAUCUGGCCUAACACUGACGCUGAGGUACGAAAGCAUGGGGAGCAAACAGGAUUAGAGACCCCUGUAGUCCCUGUCUCUUAUACA